rnacentral:lncRNA from 1 species
UCUUCAUCUUUAUCUGCCAGAAAUCAAAGUUUUCCCCAUUGAAAAUCGGCGCCCGAAGAUCAGCACCACUCGAUCCAGCCAUAUUAGACUUGUUAUCGAGUUACCCAGUUAUUUUCAGAUUGUUCUUCAAUCGCAGCAAACUCGAUUCUCUGUCGAGUUCCUUAGCUACAACCCUUGUCACAGAUUCACGCCCAGAUUGAGAUCCAACCUGGCUCUGAGGCCAUAUUAGAGUUUGAUUUUGGGUAGAUUCAAUGGAACAGUAAAACCAUACACUAAGAACAGAG